ACGACCAUACCCACUGGAGAACUCGGGAUCCCGUCCGCUCUCCCAUAGAUAAGCCAGUGAGGGCCGGAUUAGUAGUUGGAUCGGUGACGACCAGCGAAUACCUGGUGUUGUAUGUU
rnacentral:rRNA from 1 species